rnacentral:rRNA from 1 species
GCCCUUGGCGGAUCCGCGGCCGCGCAGAGUUUGAUCCUGGCUCAGUGCGAACGCUGGCGGCGUGCCUAACACAUGCAAGUCGUGCGGAGGGGCGAUGAGCCCCUCAGCGGCAAACGGGUGAGUAACACGUGAGUAACCUGCCCCUGGGAAGGGGAUAACCCUCCGAAAGGGGGGCUAAUACCCUAUAUAGCCGGGGACCACUAAGGUCACCCGGUGAAAGGUGGCCUCUGCCCUUUAUGGGCAUGCUACCGCCCAGGGAGGGGCUCGCGGCCCAUCAGGUAGUUGGUGGGGUAACGGCCUACCAAGCCUAUGACGGGUAGCCGGCCUGAGAGGGUGGCCGGCCACAGUGGGACUGAGACACGGCCCACACCCCUACGGGGGGCAGCAGUGGGGAAUCGUGGGCAAUGGGCGCAAGCCUGACCCCGCGACGCCGCGUGGGGGAUGAAGCCCUUCGGGGUGUAAACCCCUGUCGGGGGGGACGAUGUGUCCUGGGGUGAAUAAUCCCAGGGCAUGACGGUACCCCCAGAGGAAGGGACGGCUAACUACGUGCCAGCAGCCGCGGUAAUACGUAGGUCCCGAGCGUUGCGCGGAUUCACUGGGCGUAAAGCGUCCGCAGCCGGACGGGUAAGCGGUGCGUCAAAGCCCACCGCUCAACGGUGGAAGGGCGUACCGAACUGCCUGUCUUGAGGCACGCCCAGGCAGGCGGAAUUCCCGGUGUAGCGGCGAAAUGCGUAGAUAUCGGGAGGAACACCGAAAGCGAAAGCAGCCUGCUGGGGCUGUCCUGACGGUCAGGGACGAAAGCUGGGGGAGCGAACCGGAUUAGAUACCCGGGUAGUCCCAGCCGUAAACCAUGNCGCUAGGCGUCGUCCUCGUGGCGGUGCCGCAGCUAACGCGGUAGCGCCCNCCUGGGGAGUA